UACGGAGGAUGCAAGCGUUAUCCGGAUUUAUUGGGUUUAAAGGGUUCGUAGGCGGGGACGUAAGUCAGUGGUGAAAGCCUGCAGCUUAACUGUAGAAUUGCCAUUGAAACUACAUCUCUUGAAUAUAUAUGAAGUAGGCGGAAUGUGUCAUGUAGCGGUGAAAUGCACAGAUAUGACACAGAACACCGAUAGCGAAGGCAGCUUACUAAUGUAUUAUUGACGCUGAUGAACGAAAGCGUGGGGAGCGAAC
rnacentral:rRNA from 1 species